rnacentral:rRNA from 1 species
GAUGAACGCUGACAGAAUGCUUAACACAUGCAAGUCUUUGGCGAAGCUGUGCUUGCACAGCCUAGCCAAGGCGGACGGGUGAGUAACGCGUAAGGAACUUGCCCUGCAGUCAGGGAUAACAGACGGAAACGACUGAUAAGACCUGGUAAAGUCAGGCGGACUCAUGUCCAGCCUGAUGAAAAGUGAUGCUGCAGGAGAGCCUUGCGUCCUAUUAGCUUGUUGGUGGGGUAACGGCCCACCAAGGCGAUGAUAGGUAGCCGGCCUGAGAGGGUGGACGGCCACAAGGGGACUGAGAUACGGCCCUUACUCCUACGGGAGGCAGCAGUGGGGAAUAUUGGACAAUGGGGGCAACCCUGAUCAAGCAAUUCUGUGUGCACGAUGAAGGUUUUCGGAUUGUAAAGUGCUUUCAGCAGGGAAGAAAAAAAUGACGGUACCUGCAGAAGAAGCGACGGCUAAAUACGUG